rnacentral:rRNA from 1 species
GACGAACCGUGCGAACGUUGUUCGGAAUCACUGGGCUUAAAGGGCGCGUAGGCGGCUCCGCAAGUCAGGGGUGAAAUCUUUCGGCUUAACCGGAAAAGUGCCUUUGAUACUGCGGAGCUCGAGGGAGGUAGGGGCGGACGGAACUUCCGGUGGAGCGGUGAAAUGCGUUGAUAUCGGAAGGAACGCCGGUGGCGAAAGCGGUCCGCUGGCCCUCUACUGACGCUGAGGCGCGAAAGCCAGGGGAGCAAACGGG